GAGGGUAUAGCUCAGCAGCAGAGCACAUGAUUAGCGUGCACGAGGUCCUGGGUUCAAUUCCCAGUACCUUCA
rnacentral:tRNA from 1 species